UACGAAGGGGGCUAGCGUUGUUCGGAAUUACUGGGCGUAAAGCGCACGUAGGCGGAUAUUUAAGUCGGGGGUGAAAUCCCAGAGCUCAACUCUGGAACUGCCUUUGAUACUGGGUAUCUCAAGUAUGGAAGAGGUGAGUGGAAUUCCGAGUGUAGAGGUGAAAUUCGUAGAUAUUCGGAGGAACACCAGUGGCGAAGGCGGCUCACUGGUCCAUUACUGACGCUGAGGUGCGAAAAGCGUGGGGGAGCAAACAGG
rnacentral:rRNA from 1 species